GUGAGUAACCUGCCCUUGACUCUGGGAUAAGCCUGGGAAACUGGGUCUAAUACCGGAUAUGACUUCUCAUCGCAUGGUGGGGGGUGGAAAGCUUUUGUGGUUUUGGAUGGACUCGCGGCCUAUCAGCUUGUUGGUGGGGUAAUGGCCUACCAAGGCGACGACGGGUAGCCGGCCUGAGAGGGUGACCGGCCACACUGGGACUGAGACACGGCCCAGACUCCUACGGGAGGCAGCAGUGGGGAAUAUUGCACAAUGGGCGCAAGCCUGAUGCAGCGACGCCGCGUGAGGGAUGACGGCCUUCGGGUUGUAAACCUCUUUCAGUAGGGAAGAAGCCCUCUUUUGGGGGUGACGGUACUUGCAGAAGAAGCGCCGGCUAACUACGUGCCAGCAGCCGCGGUAAUACGUAGGGCGCAAGCGUUAUCCGGAAUUAUUGGGCGUAAAGAGCUCGUAGGCGGUUUGUCGCGUCUGCUGUGAAAGACCGGGGCUCAACUCCGGUUCUGC
rnacentral:rRNA from 1 species